rnacentral:lncRNA from 1 species
AUAAUUGUGCUUCUCUGAAACAACAAAAUAAGACUCUGAAUUAAACAUUUGGUAUCUGGAUCUGACUCUGAUGCUUCUACCAGUUAGGAGUCAUCUGAAUCAGAAAUCCUCAGGACCCAACCCUUUGGUAUUCCUGAAGAUCGGAUAAAUCAACACGUGGAGCAUCAUGCGUCUGACUUUGAAUCUUCUAGACAGCUGUCUAGCAGAAAUCAAGAGACAGACUCUUGAAAUCUCCUCGAGCACUGUGCUGAUUUGGGGAUUAGACCUCCAUCACGGGCUGUAAUCAUUUCUCCUCCAAGCGUGUAAACUUGGAUAACGUGCUUCAUUUAAUUUUUAACAUCUAAACUACUUCUAAUGCUGUUAUUUUGCAUGCAUCUAUUUGUGUAUAUAUACUUUUCAC